rnacentral:rRNA from 2 species
UUAAAUUGAAGAGUUUGAUCAUGGCUCAGAUUGAACGCUGGCGGCAGGCCUAACACAUGCAAGUCGAACGGUAGCAGGAAGAAGCUUGCUUCUU